rnacentral:tRNA from 1 species
GACCGUGUAGCUCAGUUGGCAGAGCAUUGGUCUAGUUUCCAAAGGUCGUAGGUUCGAUUCCCACCGUGGCCG